UACGUAGGGUGCGAGCGUUGUCCGGAAUUAUUGGGCGUAAAGGGCUCGUAGGCGGUUUGUCGCGUCGGGAGUGAAAACCCAGGGCUUAACUCUGGGCUGGCUUUCGAUACGGGCAGACUAGAGGCAUGCAGGGGAGAACGGAAUUCCUGGUGUAGCGGUGAAAUGCGCAGAUAUCAGGAGGAACACCGGUGGCGAAGGCGGCAUCCGUGGACCGGCAUUGACGCUGAGGCGCGAAAGCUAGGGGAGCAACGGG
rnacentral:rRNA from 1 species